rnacentral:miRNA from 1 species
AGUCUGUUGAGUGCCAUAGA